AAAACGACUCUCGGCAACGGAUAUCUCGGCUCACGCACCGAUGAAGAACGUAGCAAAAUGCGAUACUUGGUGUGAAUUGCAGAAUCCCGUGAACCAUCGAGUUUUUGAACGCAAGUUGCGCCCGAAGCCAUUCGGUCGAGGGCACGUCUGCCUGGGCGUCACGC
rnacentral:rRNA from 2 species